UACGGAGGGUGCAAGCGUUAUCCGGAUUUACUGGGUUUAAAGGGUGCGUAGGCGUCCCGAGAAGUUUUCAGCGAAAUCCUCCAGCUCAACUGGAGAACUGUUGGAAAAACUUUCGGGAUUGAAUGCGGUGGAAGUUAGCGGAAUAAAUCAUGUAGCGGUGAAAUGCAUAGAUAUGAUUUAGAACACCAAUUGCGAAGGCAGCUAGCUAUACCGUGAUUGACGCUGAGGCACGAAAGCGUGGGGAGCGAACAGG
rnacentral:rRNA from 1 species